AGUUUAACAGGAGCCAAAAAGCUGAAGUAGCGCACGGGUGAGUAAUACGUAGGAAUUUCCCUCUAAGGUUUAUUAAAAAUAAAUAAAAUUGGAUUGUUUAGAGUAAAGUCUACGUAAGAUUAAGUUGUUGGUAAUGUAAAAGCUUACCAAGCUAAAGAUCUUUAGCUGAUCUGAGAGGAUGAUUAGCCACAUUGGAACUGAAACAAGGUCCAGACUCAUUAUAGAGGCAGCAGCGGAGAAUCUUGAGCAAUGAACGAAAGUUUGACUCAGCUAAAACAUAUGUGUGAUGAAAGUAAGUUUUAUUGCAAAGCACUUUUACAAAAUAAUAUCAUGAAUGUAUUUUGUGAAUAAGUUCCGGCUAACUACGUGCCAGCAGCAGCGGUAAGACGUAGGGAAUUAGCGUUAUUCAAAAUAAUUGGGCGUAAAGUACAUGUAGGCGGUAAAUUUAGUGUUUAUAUAAAAGGCUAAAAGUUUUAUACUGAGAUAAUAUAACAAACAGAUUUACUUUUGAGUAUAAUAUAAGAUUAUAGAAUUUUAAGUGUAAAAGUUAAGUUUGACAAUAUUUGAAGGAAUAUCAAUAGCGAAGGCAAUAAUCUAUAUUUUAACUGACGCUGAUAAUGUGAAAGCAUAGGGAGUGAACAGGAUUAGGGACCCUGGUAAUCUAUGCUGUCAAAUAUGAGAGCUCAUUUUAGAAAAAUUUCUGAAAUUUAGUUAACACGUUAAGCUCUUCGCCUGGGAACUACGAUUGCAAGGUUAAAACUCAAAGGAAUUGACGGGAAUCCAUACGAACGGUGGAGCAUGUGGUUUAAUUCGAUACAACGCGUACAAUCUUACCAAAUUUUGUAUAAGUUUAUAAUAAACUUACAGGAUUGCAUGGCUGUCGUCAGUCCGUGUUGUGAAACGUUUGGUUAAUUCCAACGAACGGACGCAACUUUUAUGCUUAAGUAUUAUUAUUAAGCAAACUG
rnacentral:rRNA from 1 species